rnacentral:rRNA from 1 species
GACAGAGGCCUCAAGCGUUAGGCGGAAUCACUGGGCUUAAAGCGUGUGUAGGCGGAUGCCUAAGUACCUUGUGAAAUCCCACGGCUCAACCGUGGAACUGCUGGGUAUACUGGGCGUCUUGGGCCAUUCAGGGGCGACUGGAACAAGCGGUGGAGCGGUGAAAUGCGUAGAUAUCGCUUGGAACGCCGAAGGUGAAAACAGGUCGCUGGGGAUGUGCCGACGCUGGGACACGAAAGCCAGGGGAGCAAACGGG